rnacentral:misc_RNA from 1 species
GCCUGUUUCCCCUCUCUUGAUCGCCACUUCGCGACCAUCAACUAAUUUGCCUCUAUAAACAACACCAAAGCUCCCUGCACCAAUCUUGUUCUCUAGUGAGAAAAAGUCAUUUGUAGCAGCAGCAAGCUCAGCUAGACUAAAUUCCUCAGCCCUAUCUGCAUGUUUCGAUGAGGUUCCACUCCUCUGGCGCCUCAUUGCCCUUGAGCUC